CAGUUUUUCCAUCCUAACUCCAGGGGAUGCUAAGAGGAUCCACCCCCAUAUACACAUCUACCAAUCACAACACCUUUCUCCUGUUUCAAGAAGCUUCCCUUUUUCUGAUAUCUUUCUAGAAUGAUCGGCAAGGAGAUGAAGAACUCCCUCCUGACCUGGAAAUACUGAAAUGGAACAGGAAAUUCCAACAAUUUCUGUCUCCAUUAUCUCAAGAAUAAUUAAACUGUUUAAUUCAUUGUUAAAAAGGUUGCCUGCCAUAAAUGCUAAUACAGUGAGUGCUAUUGAGCUCUUAACAAGCACCAGACAUGUUUUAAGUACUUUACAUGAAUUAACUUAAUUAAUUCUCCUAACAAUGCUACUGGCUAGGUACUAUAUUUUCCCUAUUUUACAGGUGGAGAAACUGAGGCACAGAAUUAAGUAAUUGGUUCAAGGCCAUAGGCAGUUAGUAGGAGAGUAGAGAAUUGAACAAAGGGCAUGCUUUGCCAGAGUCUGUGCUCCUGACCAGUGUGCUAUAGUGCUUAUCACAGCAUUCAGUGCUAUGGGAAAAACCAAGGUGAAAGAGAAAAGGCAUAGCCUGGGCCUUUAUCAUGAGUCGAGUGGGGCUUUCAGACUUGUAGCUAACUCUGUAUGGGCGCAUGUGUGGUGUACUCCAUGGAUCACUAUUAACUUACUUAUGUUUGCUGUCUUGUAAGACGUGUGAUUCUAGGUCUGUUUUGGGCAAGACCAAGCUCAGGGUGAAGGACGAGGCUAGGACCAGCUGCAGAAAGCAUUUAGAACAAUGCCUGGCACACAGUGGGUCCUCAAUAAACAAUGGCUGAAUGGAAGAAUGCAUGCUCACCAUCACCAUUCAAAGAAGAAUCAAGACCUCAUGGAUGGCUGAAUAAUCACUGUGUCUGCGCUACACUCAGGGGAUGAGUCAGUCACCCUCUGGUUUAGCAGACUGCCACAGUGCCUGUCUCUCCUGGAGGGUGCUCAGCAGCUUUGGAUUUGAAAUGACAUUGUAAAGAUCCUCUCCUGGAAUCACAUUGGCUGGGUAGCUAGGAAGGGAUACUGCCCUUGUCCAAAUCCCAAAGCAAGGACCUUUUGUCUAGGGGAAUUUAUCAGUGGGCUCCUCCUACAUGUGAAUGGGAAAACUGGGAUGGUCAGUUGGAAGUUAGGCCCCUAACUGGGAAAGAGAGGGUUUCCACAAGUUUGAAGUCUACUUCAAACCCUCGCCACAGAAGCAUGGCUAAUUUUUCUCUUGUAUAAUAGAGAUGUACUAUAAGGACUAGGAGUAGUUAUCUCUUCCUACGGCCUAGAGGUGAGAAGACCUACAAGCACUCAUGUGUUUUUGCAGGUCACAGAGUAACAGCCAUUGCUCUAGUGGCUAGGAUGUCAUCCAGACACAAGGCAAAAGAAGAUAGGUGCUGUUCUUUUUCACAAACUAGGAAGUACUUUCCUACUACACAACUUCAUAUAAAGGAGACAAUGAGAUCCUACCUAGUAGGAUCUGUGAAGCUGACAAGAAGACACCUGGGUGAAAAGUGAAAAAUACCAGCAAUCCCAGACAUUUUAUAUGCAUAAGGCCAAGCAUCCAUCUACUUGCAUUUACUCUGAAACCAGAGACUUCUUGUGAUACAGGCUCAUAGUUCAUAAUAUUCUGUAUAUGUGUAUGUACAUAUAAUGUUUAAGUUAUUUAUGUCUCUGUUUGUAAGCAAUAUAUUUCACAUUUUUAAACUAGCUACAGGCUUUUGUAGAUGUCAUUUUUCCUAUCUCAAGGUUGGUCUAGGGCUUAAUUGUUUUUCGUUUGCAGGUGCCAUGUCUUGAAUUUGUCUACUGAUUAGAUGUUUGAUUAUUGCAAUAGUAAUGCACACCUUGUUUUAAUAAGGGCCAUGAGGAUUGAGGGAUUGAGAGUCAUCACAUCACAGGUCUUCUUCUCACUGCCAUUAAAUAGCCACGUGUCUUAGUGUAGGUCACUCCCUGGGCCUCAGCUUUCCAGCUCCAAUUUGAAGAGGCUGGGUUAGAGAGUUACUAAGUUUUCUUUUGGAGGCAAAGAAUCUACAAUUCAAGUAAUAUUUUAUAUAAACACUGUACUUCUUUUCCUCAUUGAGAGUAGCCACCAUCAUAUGUAGGACAUCUAUUUAUGGGACUGAUCCAUGUCCAGAUUUGAGCAUCAAAUAUUUCACUACAAAAAUGUGUGUAUGUUAAGAUUUUGUUGUGUUUCCCAGUUCCUUUUUUAAGAAAUCGAGUCCAUUAAGGUAUUUCAUGCUCGGCUAACAUGUCCAUUAUUUUUAGACAGUAUGCUUAAAAUAAAGGAGAGGACUUUAUUUGAUACCUUUAUUUA
rnacentral:lncRNA from 13 species